rnacentral:rRNA from 1 species
GACGAACGCUGGCGGCGUGCCUAAUACAUGCAAGUAGAACGCUGAAGGAGGAGCUUGCUCUUCUGGAUGAGUUGCGAACGGGUGAGUAACGCGUAGGUAACCUGCCUGGUAGCGGGGGAUAACUAUUGGAAACGAUAGCUAAUACCGCAUAAUAGUAGAUGUUGCAUGAUAUUUACUUAAAAGGUGCAAUUGCACCACUACCAGAUGGACCUGCGUUGUAUUAGCUAGUUGGUGGGGUAACGGCUCACCAAGGCGACGAUACAUAGCCGACCUGAGAGGGUGAUCGGCCACACUGGGACUGAGACACGGCCCAGACUCCUACGGGAGGCAGCAGUAGGGAAUCUUCGGCAAUGGACGAAAGUCUGACCGAGCAACGCCGCGUGAGUGAAGAAGGUUUUCGGAUCGUAAAGCUCUGUUGUAAGAGAAGAACGAGUGUGAGAGUGGAAAGUUCACACUGUGACGGUAUCUUACCAGAAAGGGACGGCUAACUACGU